UAAGAAAUUACAAAAUACAAAUUGCGGUGUCUCUUUUUAUAAAAUUAAUUUACGAUGAACGGAACAAAUUCAUUUACAAUUUAAGUAUUUUUUUCUCAUUUUAUUUUUUGGACACAUUAAAGAAUAAUUAAACCUUUGAGUAGCUGCUGAGGAAAUUACAAAAUUUAAAUUAAAAUAUUUUAAUUAUUAACAAACUAAUACUCAAUCAAACGAUCAGGGAAAGGAAGCACCGAGUCAAAAAAUGAAUGGGCUUUCCGAAUAUGUGCAUAUCGAUUAGGGAAAUUGUGUAUUUCGGCCAACAUUUUGACGUCUUCGAAAAAUGCCGUUUUUUUGAAAUGUCAGUGUGUUUAUACCGGGGUAAAUCAAAAUGAAAUUUGCCCUAUUAUAUUAUUUUGUAUUAUUGUAACUUGUGCGUUUUUUGGCAAAAUCUCGACUUUUUCGGACAUAUCCCUGUCCCAAUACUUUAAUAUCUUCGCUAUCAUUCUGAAAUUGCGUUUUUCUAUUGUGGUUUAUCCAAUCACGUACAAUACACUCAUUUUUUAAUAAUUAUUCUCAUAUUUUUUAACUGCGUUCAGGGUAUAGCUCUUAGGAGAGCCAAAAUUCGACUUUUUCGGACAUUUCCCUGUCUCAGUUCUUUAAUAUCUUUGGUAUCAUUCUGAAAUUGUGUUUUCUAGUUCAAUUAAUCCAAUUUCGGACGAAUACACUCAUUUUAAUUCUUCUCGACUUUUUGGCCGGUUUUUCGGACAUAUCAAUUAUCCUCAUAGUCAAUCAAUCAAUCCUCCUCACUCUAGAUUUAAGGUAGUUAUAAUAAUAGGGAUUUUCAUUAAUUGUAUAUUUUCUUUUGACCCUGUUUUAGACUACUUAUAAUAUUCUCUAGCUAUCUGUAUUAAUAGAAAAUGGUUGCACAAUUUAUUACAUAAUUAAGGCUGUGGCUCACCAGAAAUCUGUUAAAUAUUUGGACUAUAAAGCAGCUACUCAAAGGUUUUCUUUGUUGUUCUUAUCCUGAUUUAAAAAACUUCACCAAAUUAUGAUUCAAUAAAAUAUCGUAGGCAAUCUUUAAAGUAUCAAUAUUUGAAUAUUGAGCUAGAAUUUUUAAUGCAUUGAGGAAAGUUUUUUUGCAAAUAAAGUACAGAAAUGGUUAUUCAUAUGUAACAAAAAGGUCUUCAAUAUAUUCUAAAUGCAAAAUAACCUUUGUGUCGUCUGCAUAGCUUACAAUUUUAUAGAGUCUUAGUAGUCAAGAGAAAAAUCAUUGAAAAAAUCACAAACGCCUCUUAUCUCAAGAUUUGCCUCAAGAUUUGAGUCAGCAAUAAGCCUAGCUCAUUAUAUCAUAACUUUGCAGUUUUUCUUAUAGUAGUUCAUGAUUUAUGAGAUCUAUAGUCUGAUAGACUUUCUGUUUUACCUCCAAACUGGUUCAUUAAAAUCUUAUACACGCCAUGUUGAAAAAGAAAUAAAAUAUUGUAGUGUUCAGGCAAAUUAGCCAGUUUGAUAUAUGUAUAUUGUUCUUUUCAAAGAAUUUUGAGAAAGAUUAUUGCAAACUGUAAAUUCCGUUUUGAUGCAUGUCAAACCUUUACUAAUUGACUCAUUAGGGUCACAAGAGUCCUAAGCAAAUAGAGCCAAAAAAAAAAAAUAAAAAAAUUGUUUGUCAAAAAAAAGGCUUCAUCCAUUUUCUUAAAGAGACCAGGUACAACAUACCCAUACAAACGAAGUAAAACAACCAAGUCACGGUCUCACAAACAUUUAGCGUUAAUUAAUUUAAUUAAUUAUUAGAGCAUCUUCAGGUCUAAAACUAACACCAAUCACAUCACAUUUUUUUUUAAACGUGUCGAUUAUAAAUCUGCCGUACAAAGGAAAAACCUAGUAACUCAAUUUUUUACAAAAUUUAGAUUUUGUUACCUUCUUUUAGUGCUAGGUAUUUCCUAUUAUCCAAUACAAAUUUUUUCCCCAAAAUCCUACGGAUAAACUUUUUAUAGCUGUUGGAAACUCCUAGUAAGUCCUUAAAUUUACUCUUUUUCAUUGGAAAAACAUAGCAAGUUUUUUUUUGCUAUUGAAUUUAAAAAAUAAGUUAUAAUAAGAUCCCAGGAAAAAAGAUAAUAUGUAUAGUUAUAAUGUUUUUCCUUUGCAUAUUAAUUAAAGAUGGUUCAUUUAUUACAAUGGAAAAACCUAGUAUUUUACAUUACUAACAUUUUGAUUUUAACGAUUUUCUAUUAAUGCCAUGCAAAAACGUAGUAAAAUGAUUUACUAGCUUAUUCCAUAUUUUAAUGUUUAAAAACACCGCUGUAUCCAAUCCGUUAAUUUACUUUGCUAUAUUCUUCCCUAAUAAAUGGCGCCAAAUACGGUUUGGCGGGAAAAAUGACAUUUGGACUUGCUAGAUUUUUCCACUGUUUAAUAAAAUAUAAACAGUUUAACGUGUGAAACCGCCGCAGCAGAACGACGUUGGAUGGUCACUUAUAGUGCGUUAGUGUGUAAAAGUAUUUAGGUUUUUAUUUGUUUAUUUUGGUGUAAAUUGUGAGAGUAACAACAUGUCUACGAGGAAGAAAAUUUUAAUGGAGUUGGUAAGACAAAAUAAAAGUUUGUGUAUCAAAUCUUCUGAAGAGCUUCAGCAAAGGUAAGAGUUCUUGUUUAAUUUAUCGUAACAAUAGUAAAGAAUAAAGUAAAUAUAGUUAGAGAAUCUCUAUAUCAUAUGCUCUAUUAAAUAAAUGUAUAGUAAUAGAAUUUUAUUUACCAGGUUAUAAAAGAAUAGUUAGUAAAUAUUUACAAUAUAAAUGUGAUACUUUUUGUGACAAUUUUCUCUUUUUUUACAACAUUUAAAUUAGUCAUUGAACCCUUUUAAAAUUAAGUUUGUUGGCUACGCAUCUUUAUUCUUCAACUUUAUAUUUGAAUCUACACUAUAAAAGCUUUGGGCAGCAACCGCCUAAUAACAUAAAAUUUUUACCUAAUUAAUAUGUACCUAACUUAUAUAAUAUUAAUAAUCUGCUCCCUGUCUUAAAGGGUGCAAUUAUUAAUUUAAAUGUUGUAAAAAAAGAGAAAAUACCUAUUAUUUUUUACUCCAAAUAAAAGUUUUUUUUUUAUAUUUUUUUAUUUCUUUUAAAGUUAUCAAGAAUUGAACAUAGAAAGCUGUUCGAAUGCUAACAACAGCAAUAUUAGCGAUGCGUAAGUACCUACGAGUAUAUACAAAAUAUUUAUAUUUUUGAUUCGACAGACAAAUCAUUUUAGCUCUAAAGCAAGUGAAAAAAGGUAACGACUUCAACUCAAUUUUGGAAAUAUGUCUCGGUGUAUUAAAAAAUUAUUUUAGUUCUCAUAAUAAUGCAUCAGUAUCAGAGCCUAAUAAUCUAGGGCCUAAUAAUAUGGAUGGAUGUUCAGCGAGAGAUAAACAUCCAUGUGAACCUACUAAUGUUUUCCAAAAUCAAGAUGAUUCGAAGAUUUAUACCGAAGUGCAAGCAGUCUGUUACGGUAAAAAUGAAGGCGAUGAGGUAAUGACCAAUGUCGAGACCAAUGUAGAAAAUACAAUACUAACAUCAGACGACCAUAACAUAUCAGCGCAAGAAGGUGAUCCCAAAAAACAGCAGUCAGUGGAUUAUGAUGAAAGUUCUUUAGUUGAAAGUCCUGCUGAUGAUUCGGAUCUAGAUCCGAACUACGAGUAUACGCCUGAUGAUGAAACUUUACGAAUAAAAAGAAAGAGAAAAUUUCAUGAUUGUAUACCUUCCCAUUUUGGUGGGUUAUUAGUAUUUUUUUUAUAGAAUGUUUUGUAAAACUUAAACUUUAUUGCAGAUUCAGACGUUGGUACGGAAAGUCAUGAGUUAGUAUUUAUUCAUGGCUUUUAAAUUAAUUAGUCAUUUAUUCCAAGAGUAAAUUAGAAGUUACGUUCAGAUACUUUGCCUUUUAAUUAAUUAGAUACUUAUUACAGGUUCUUUGAUCCUUCAGGCACUUGGUUUCAGAAUUUCAAAUAAUUAGAUUUACUUACUUUAAGAAUAUGAGUUACCUAGAAGUUACUUUCAGGUACUUGAGCCUUUUAAUUAAUUAAGUAGUUAUUCCAGGCUCUUGGUGUAAGUCAGAAACUUUUCCAGGCACUUGGGUCACUUACUUCAAGAAUUUUGUAUUAUUGUAACGAGAACGCUCCAAUAAUACAAAAAAAAUCCCAAAAGAAGAAAAGAGCAAGAACAGAAAAGCAGCAAAUAGAACACCAUUUAAAAAAGUAUCAUGUUUUGUACGCAUGUUCUUGUAAAAAAAAAUGUGCAGAUCAGUUAUCAGAUGAAAGACGAAACGAAAUUUGCCAGGCAUUUUGGAAACUUACUUUUGGAGAGAGGCGUCAAUAUUUUAAUGCACACAUAGAAUUUAAAACAAUUAAGCAGAGAAAAACUGAUAGUAAUAAUAAAAGGCAGUGCUCACUUUCUUAUACUAUGGACAAAUCUGAUGGGACGAAAGUUCAAGUAUGCAAACUGAUGUUUUUGCAUACACAUGGAUUAAACACUGACGGCAUGAUAACUGAAUGUAAGAGGAAACAAAAUGUAUCAAAAGGGCUUGAUAUUGUUACUGAUAAACGUGGAAAGUCAACGCCUUCAAAUAAGAGAGAUGGAAAACUAUUUAAGCAACAUAUAGAGUCUUACAAUCCACAAGUUUCCCAUUACAAGCUCUCCCAUGCUCCUGAUAGAAGAUAUCUGCCUUCGGAUUAAAGUGUAACAUCUAUGUGGAAAGACUUUUGUGAACAUCAUGAAAAGGUCUCGUAUGAAAAAUAUCGAGAUGAGUUUAAUUUGUGAAACAUCGGGUUUGAGCAACCCAAUCAAGACGAAUGUAGUGAUUGUAUAUUACAUAAAGAACACGAAAAAAUCUGUAAAGAAUCAAGAGAAUCUAGCACUACAUGUAUUGAUUUUGACAAACAUCAUUUAUUGUAUGUUGAAGCAAGAAAGGCUUACGAAGAUGACAGGGACAAAAAAAGAUAUCCAAAUUCAUUUGGAGUUUAUAGUGUGGACAUGCAAAAAGUUCUCCUUUUAACCAAAAUGUCUCUAAAGUCGUCUGUUUUUGUCAGAAAGUUAAAAAAAAGUUGAAAAUAUUUGUGUUUUGUGGCAUGAAGCCAUUAGUGGUAGAUUAGCAGAGGAUGUGGCAUCGACUUACCUUGCAGUAAUGCAAAGUGCCUCUGCUGAUGUAGAAUACUACAUAUUUUGGUGCGACAACUGUAGUGCCCAAAAUAAAAAUUGGAGGCUUUAUGCUGCAUUCGUAUCUAUUGUAAAUUCUAAUUGGGGACCAAAAUGCAUAACAGUUAAAUAUUUUGAAGCAGGUCAUUCUUAUAUGAAGGCCGAUGCUGUUCACGGCCAAAUAGGCAAAGCUUUAAAGAAAGGAGCUAACGUUUACGACUUGAAUGAAUUUAAAUGAACUUAUUCUUACAACAUCAGGAAAAAACAAAACACUGCUUAUUCUUAUGAAGACUUUUAUGAAUUUAAAGAAGGCAGCAGAUGAAAAAAAGCAGAUGAAACAAUGCCAUUGCUAAACGAAGUUAAAGUAGCAGAGUUUCGAAAGGGUUCCAAAAAUUUAUUUUUCAAAAAAAAUCAUACGGAUUUGGAAUUUAUUUCAUCUGAUUUUUUAAAACCCAAUAUAAAUAUAAUAUAAUAUAUACCCAAUAUAAUAAUAGGGGUUUCAACUGUGAUAAAAAAGAAUGCAUUCUUAAAGAUUUAGUGCCAUCAAUGCCCCCGGUAAAAAAAUCUUUUGAGAAAAACUUCUUCUGACUUGCUUUUAACGCGAAACUGAAUUACCUAGUCUAGUAAUAGUUACCAAAGAUUAGUAUUACUUUUUUGUUACUAUCAAGCUUUAGAAUUUUUAUUUUGUUCUAUUUUGGCUGUUUUUCUUUGUCGGUUUUCUCAAAAUAUAUAAUUUUGUAUAAAAUGGUCGUUUUCUUUACACAUUUUUUUUAUCUCAUAAAAUAAUAGAACAUUUUGUCAUAGCAACUCAGCAUACUAUUAUUUUCUUAGUAACACUACUAAAGAAGAUACUACUUUAAACAUAGCAUCUGUAGGUACUAUUUGUUUCCUUUGCAAAAUUACAUGUUUGGAUAUAGCAAAUCAAGAUACUAUUUAUGUCCUCGGUAACUCUAAUAAUUUUUUUAUAGCAACCUAAGACACUAUUUUAUUCCUUGGCAUUAUUACGAUUUUGCUGACAGAAAAAAAUAGUAAGUCCUAUAAAAGCUAAAAACAGGCGCCAAAAUAGAAAAUAAAGUAAGAAUUAGAAAUCUCGAAUUUAAAAACCCCCAGAAGCUAAAUCCCAAUCAUGCCACUAUAUAAAUAAAGUAAUGGCUAAUUAAAACAUUUAAAUUUGAUUUUGUAAAAAUGUUGCAAAAAUGACUUACUAUGUUUUACCAUUUCACGGGAGAAAUGUUUGUGAGACCGUGACUCGGUUGUUUAUCUUCGUUUGUUUAGAUUUGUUUGGACUAUAUGUUAGCCACUGUCUACGGGCGUAAUUGUCUCUAUUAAUAAUUUUUAAUUAUUAAAAGGUAUACAUAAAGUCUUGACAUAGGAGUAUUGCCGUUAUAAGUAUACAUGCUUGGUAAAGCGGGACCUUUAAUGCAGAAAUUAAUGCAAUAAAAUUCGGCAUAUAUCAAUUUUAAAUAACUCGAUUCUCCCUACGUCCCUGUUGCUGACGAAUUUUAGUGAGAAAAAUGUCUUGUCUACUAUUCUGCCGUCCACAAUAAAAAGGCGGUUUCUACAGAAAAUUCGAAAAUCGAGUUUUUGGUAUCAACAUUUUUCUUGUUACUUAAUUCAUCUCCUUACAAAGUUAUAAGGCCGUAUCUAAAAUAAAAUCUGAAUUAAUCACUAAAAUUGUUUAGCCGUAUCUGCAAAAUUUACUACGCUUCUUAACGAUAACGCAGUAUCUGCAACAUGCUUAAUAAAUUAGGCGGCAAGUGCUGACGUUAAGUACGCAGUUGCCGCGUUUUUAUUAAAACCGGCAUAUAAUGAAAAUAACCAAGUGUAUUAUACCAGUGACCAAUCUAGUAGUACUUCAUCAUUCAUAUUCGCAGGUAAGUUUUAUCAUUUUACAAAACAAAAAUGGAUAUUUUUUGCCGUCGAUGUUAUGACUUUAAAUUAUUAAUUAUGCUGUGUAAAUAAAGUUAUCGAAAAAUCGUUUGCAGAAAUAAUGAUAUCGAAACGAAUAUAUUUCCUGAUGAAAAUAGAAAAACCAGUUCAGGUUAUGUAUUACAUGAAAUGCAGCCUAUGUCUUUCUUACUGACAAACACAAAACAACAUGAAUCUUGUAUAAUUAGCAACGAUAAAGUAUCAAAUUGGUUAAAUCAUCUUCCUAAUUCUGAUAAUGAGUUUUUCUAUGAUGGUAACAUUUCACUGAGGAUAUCACCAAACCAAAUCAACUAAGUAAUAAAGAAAAUUUCAGUAAUCAAGAUAAUAUCGAAGAGAUAAAUAGCAAUUCAGUCAAUGUACGACACCAUACGUCACCUAUACACCUAUACAAUUACCAAUCAUUGAAAAUUUGGAACCUAACAAGUCUUCAUUACCGAUAAAUUUAAAGCCAGGCUUUGUAAAACUGGAUAGACCUUUUAUAAUUAGCAACCAUGCAGUAACUGAUUGGGUAAUUGCUGAGAAUAAUGAUGUUAGUAUGGAGCUAGAGUUUCAAUUCAUUCGUAUCAUUGAAGAAUGUUUUGAAAUAGAAAAUAAUAUUAAAGCAUCUUCCCAGGAAGUAACAGAAUCCACAAAUUCUGUGACCCAAUCGCCUAAUAAAAAUCAAGAGGUUUGCUGCAUUGAUGAAGGUGAUAUUGUUUAAUUUGUCAAUAAAAAUCUUGAAAGUGAACAUAACAAUGAUACGAAAAGUGACGUAUUCCUCUAAAUCUUCUAGGGUUCAGGUUAAAGAUUCAAAUCAAAAAGAAAGGGCUACCUUUUGUAAAAGAAGGAAAUUUGAUAUCGAUCUCAAGACUCGAAAAUUGUUAGCAGCAAAAAAACGUGCUGAAAAUCAUGCAGUCUUACCUGGCUGCAAAAACUGCAAGAAAAAAUGUUAUUUCAAAUGAAGUAAGAAAAUUAAUAAAUAGUCAAUUUUGGCAAUUGUCUAAAAAUGAGCAAAAGACAUUUAUACUCAACAUAUGUUCAAGAUUAGGAGUAAAACGAAGAACUGUUACAAGUGAUAAAUUUAUCAAGCAAAAUACGUUUAUGUGUUUUUUAAAAAACGACAUAGGCAAAGCGGUGCCUGUAUGCUAAAUAUUUUUUUUUGACUAUUACAUUAUCAAAAACACCAAAAUGUCGAAUGACACCUUUGCCAUAUGGAAAUUCAGGCAAGGCUUCUCAAAGAAAAAUUGAUGAUAGUGCUAUUAACGAACAUAUUGAGUCUUUUCAUCCAGAGGUAUCACAUUAUCGUAGAGAGCACGCUCCAAAGGUUCGAUACUUAAGCAGCGACUUAACAGUGACACUAAUGUACAAUGAUUUUAAAGAAAAAUUUCCUGGAACUAGAAUUUCAUAUGAAACAUACCCAAAAAAAAAAUAAAAGUAAAACACAUUUCUUUCAUCAAACUAGGGCACGAAGAAUGCGAUUUAUAUGAACAUUUUAAGCUACAUGGGCAUGACAAAGAUAAAUUGGAAGACUCGUGCGAAUCUUGUCAACUUUGGAAAAAGCAUAUAAAUCGCGCUAGUGAAUCACGAAAAUUAUACAGAGAACACAGUGAGCAGAUGUUUGAUAGUAAUACAACAUGUGUCUGUGCAGAUUUACAAAAAAUUGUUAUGCUUCCAAAAAUGGAUACGUUCAAGACUGCGAUUUUCUUGAAACGUCUAAUAGCCUAUAAUGAAACAUUUGUUCCCUAAGGAAAAAUAACUAAAACCAAUAAACCAUUUGCUGUUGUAUGGCAUGAAGCCGUAAGUAAGCGAUCUAAAGAAGAUUUAAUAAGUACGUUUUAUUCAUUUUUUAAGUUUCAUAGAGACACUGAAAAUAUUAUUAUUUGGUUAGACAAUUGUGCUAGCCAAAACAAAAAUUGGUCGCUGUUUACUUUUUUAAUCAGAAUGGUAAACUCAAACGAAAUUUCAGCUAAAAGCAUAAUUUUUAAUUAUUUUGAGCCGGGGUAUACAUUUAUGUCUGUAAACAGCUUCCACCACCAAGUGGAGCUGUCUAUGACACUAUAUCCAAAAUGUACGAUUUUAAUGAUUUUGGUGGUUCAUGUUCAUCUGCAUGUAAGGGCAACGUCGAAGUGAAAGAAAUGAACCAUACGGAUUUUUAUCAUUGGGAUAAUGUCACGUCGCAACAAAAACUAAAGAAACUUGGUGAAAAUAUGGCCUUAUUUGUCAAGGCCAUAUUUGACAUAGUACAGGUUGUUGCUGAGCGAGGAAAAUUUGUCCUGGAGUAUCGAAAUAGUUUUAAUGAGCCCCCUAUAAAAACUUUAGAUUUUAUUAUGCCAAAGGCAAUGAAAAAAAAGCAACUCUUAGGAAGUGUUACCAAAAACUCUAGAUUUUACGGCUUCCCUGUAGAGAAAAAGAAUAUAAUAUUAAAGGAAUUGGGAAAUUUAAUGCCAGAAAACAGAAAACUGUUCUGGACUAAUUUACCAGGAGUAAGUGGAGAGUAUUCGGACACUGACGAACUUUAAAAUAUGUGUAGACUUAUUGCACUUACUGCAAUAAUUUUAAUUUUUUUAGAAGUUUUUUUCUUUUGUGUGAUGUUUGUUAUUUAAUAUGUAAUAAAUUAAUUAAUUACAAAA
rnacentral:lncRNA from 1 species